rnacentral:rRNA from 1 species
GUGGAUCCUGUGAACUGCAGGACACAUGAACACCGACAAGUUGAACGCAUAUUGCACAUCGUACCACAGUACGAUGUACACAUUUUUGAGUGCCUAUAUUUAUCGAUACAACUAUACGUGUGCGUGCGCGUCCCACUGCCGGGUGGACAGGUGCACGGCCCAUGGCACGUAUGCGUAGUGAUGUUUUCCCUACCGCUCCCGACUGGCGGGGAAAAAUUUUAAAUAUUCUUCCCCCUGCCCACCGGGGAUGAAUGAUGAAUACAUCCCCUACCCGGCGCGGUGGCGGCGUGGCUAUGUCGUAUUACAUCAUCAUCGAUCACCAUACCCAGCAUGCAAUAAAUAAUGACUGCCUACCCCAUAAAUUAAAACAUAUCGACAC